rnacentral:rRNA from 1 species
GCAGUCGCCGCGGUAAUACAGAGGGUGCGAGCGUUAAUCGGAUUUACUGGGCGUAAAGCGUGCGUAGGCGGCUUCUUAAGUCGGAUGUGAAAUCCCUGAGCUUAACUUAGGAAUUGCAUUCGAUACUGGGAAGCUAGAGUAUGGGAGAGGAUGGUAGAAUUCCAGGUGUAGCGGUGAAAUGCGUAGAGAUCUGGAGGAAUACCGAUGGCGAAGGCAGCCAUCUGGCCUAAUACUGACGCUGAGGUACGAAAGCAUGGGGAGCAAACAGGAUUAGAUACCCCUGUAGUCCCUGUCUCUUAUAA